UCCCAGACUCCUACGGGAGGCAGCAGUGGGGAAUAUUGCACAAUGGGGGAAACCCUGAUGCAGCGACGCCGCGUGAGUGAAGAAGUCUUUCGGUAUGUAAAGCUCUAUCAGCAGGGAAGAUAAUGACGGUACCUGACUAAGAAGCCCCGGCUAACUACGUGCCAGCAGCCGCGGUACUACGUAGGGGGCAAGCGUUAUCCGGAUUUACUGGGUGUAAAGGGUGCGUAGGUGGCAUGGCAAGUCAGAAGUGAAAGCCCGGGGCUCAACCCCGCGGACUGCUUUUGAAACUGUCAGGCUGGAGUACAGGAGAGGUAAGCGGAAUUCCUAGUGUAGCGGUGAAAUGCGUAGAUAUUAGGAGGAACACCAGUGGCGAAGGCGGCCUGCUGGGCUUUAACUGACGCUGAGGCUCGAAAGUGUGGGUAGCAAACAGGAUUAGAUACCCUCGUA
rnacentral:rRNA from 1 species